CCGAUCUCCUCCUGUUCUCUCUCCUCCUCCGUCUUCUUGGAUAGCCCGGCGGCCAGCGGCGGCGUCGUCGGCGUCGGCAGUGGCCGGCGGAUGGCGUGGCGAUGAGGGCCACGGGCGGCGGCGGCGGAGGUAGGCGCGCGGGUGGUGGCGCGGGGUGGCGGUGGCGGCGGCGGCCGGCGAGCAGACUGCCAGCAGCGGAGCGGGCGGCGACGCGCGGGCUUAGCAGCGGUAGUGGCGGCUGCGCACGGGCGGUGGCGCGGGUUGACGGCGCACGGCCGGCGCGCGU
rnacentral:sRNA from 1 species